UUAAGUAUUGGGGUAGGUCUGCCCGGAUAGAGGGGGGUAACUACUGGAAACGGGUAGGUGAUACCGCAUAAUGUCUACGGACCAAAGCAGGGGCUCUUCGGACCUUGCACUAUCGGAUGAACCCAUAUGGGAUUAGCUAGUAGGUGGGGUAAAGGCUCACCUAGGCGACGAUCUCUAGCUGGUCUGAGAGGAUGAUCAGCCACACUGGGACUGAGACACGGCCCAG
rnacentral:rRNA from 1 species